rnacentral:rRNA from 1 species
GACGAACGCUGGCGGCGUGCUUAACACAUGCAAGUCGAGCGGUAAGGCCCUUCGGGGUACACGAGCGGCGAACGGGUGAGUAACACGUGGGUGACCUGCCUCUAGCUCUGGGAUAAGCCUGGGAAACUGGGUCUAAUACCGGAUAUGACUCCACGGCGCAUGUUGUGGGGUGGAAAGCCUUGUGUGGCUAGAGAUGGGGCCCGCGGCCCUAUCAGCUUGUUGGUGGGGUGANGGCCUACCAAGGCGACGACGGUAGCCGGCCUGAGGGGCGACCGGCCACACUGGGACUGAGACACGGCCCAGACUCCUACGGGAGGCAGCAGUGGGGAAUCUUGCGCAAUGGGCGAAAGCCUGACGCAGCGACGCCGCGUGA